rnacentral:snoRNA from 1 species
AAGACCUUACUUCAUAGGAUCAUUUCUAUAGUAAGCUCUUCACCCAGAAACUCGCAAUAUGUGAGGGCACACAAGCCACGAUGACGAGACGUGGCGCGGUACCCUGAGCGUGAGGCGGGCGAUGGUGGUUCACCAUCAGCCCUCGAUGAUCGUUCGCUCCCUUCGGGGAGAGUGGGGCACUGUCGCUUUCUGAGUGGU